GAGAGUUAAGUCAGCUUUGCAAAAGUUUAAGAGAAGUCUAGGUCUGCCAACACUUUCAGCAGGCCCAGUAAAUUUACAUACUGAUCUGGCCCUGCCCACAUGAGAACUAUCUACAUAUAAAGACUUGCUUCCUUUUUAAUCUGUCUUUUACACACAGCUCUUACCACGGCUUCUAUAAAACAUUUGGAGACAGAGAAUUUGGAUGGUAUUAGGCUACUGAUUGGGCUUCCCAGGUGGUGCUUGCAGUAAAGAACCAGCCUGCCAAUGCAAGAGACCUAAGAGAUACCAGUUCAGUCCCUGGGUCUGGAAGAUCCCCUGGAGAAGGGCAUGGCAGCCCCAGUAUUCUUGCUUGGAGAAUCCCUUGGACAAAGAAACCAUGGGGUCAUAGAGUGGGACACAACACGACUGAAGAGACUUAGCAUGCACAGGCUACUGAUUAAAUGGUGAUUCAAGGAACUUCA